rnacentral:rRNA from 1 species
GGGAGUGCUCGACAAGACGAGCCGGAACACAGGUGCUGCAUGGCUGUCGUCAGCUCGUGUCGUGAGAUGUUGGGUUAAGUCCCGCAACGAGCGCAACCCUUGCCAUUAGUUGCUACGAAAGGGCACUCUAAUGGGACUGCCGGUGACAAACCGGAGGAAGGUGGGGAUGACGUCAAGUCCUCAUGGCCCUUAUAGGUGGGGCUACACACGUCAUACAAUGGCCGGUACAGAGGGUAGCCAACCCGCGAGGGGGAGCCAAUCCCACAAAGCCGGUCGUAGUCCGGAUCGCAGUCUGCAACUCGACUGCGUGAAGUCGGAGUCGCUAGUAAUCGCGGAUCAGCAUGUCGCGGUGAAUACGUUCCCGGGUCUU